AAUGGCUGCAGUAAUUUGACUGUACAAAGGUAGCAUAAUCAUUAGUUUUUUAAUUAAAAGCUUGUAUGAAAGGUUGGACGAAAUAAAAUCUGUCUCUUUUUAAUAUAAUUAGAAUUUAAUUUUUAAGUUAAAAAGCUUAAAUAAAUUUAAAAGACGAGAAGACCCUAUAGAGUUUAAUAAUUUUUUUUUUUAAUUAAUUUAGAUUUAUUUAUUUUAUUUUUAAAAAAUUAUUUUAUUGGGGUAAUAGAAAGAUUAAAAUAAUUCUUUUUUAAAAAAAUCAUUAAUUUAUGAAAAUUUAUGAUCCAUUGAAUUUUGAUUAUAAGAUUAAAUUACCUUAGGGAUAACAGCGUAAUUUUUUUUAAGAGUUCAUAUCGAUAAAAAAGUUUGCGACCUCGAUGUUGGAUUAAAGAUUAAUUUAGGUGUAGAAGUUUAAAUUUUUGGUCUGUUCGACCAUUAAAUCUUUACAUGAUCUGAGUUCAAACCGGUGUAAGCCAGGUUGGUUUCUAUCUUUAAAAAAAUUUAAUAUUUUAGUACGAAAGGACCAGAUAUUAUAUAUAUUAAUAUUUAAGUUAUUGAAUAUU
rnacentral:rRNA from 1 species